rnacentral:lncRNA from 1 species
AUUUUUUUUGCAAAGUUGUACAAAAGUGUGUGGAAUUGAUCGGGCUGAUCCAGAUAAGCAGCGUGACCAGCUUUAGGCAAGAUGAACGCCUGGAAAUUUGGUAUGGUUUUGAGAUCACGAUGCGACGUCGGACCCAAUGAGCUGUUUCACAUCGUUGUUUACCUGCAGAGCCCUGACUUUGCUGGGAGGUACAAUACCAGAUGCAGCAGGGGAGAUGACAACAAAUCCAGCCAUCAUUUCUGGGUACAUCUGUUGAUCGGGAAAUUAAAUUAUACAACGUCGUGAAAUCAGCUCGGCCGAAUGCGUCUACCCGUCUGAUUCGUCAUCAUCAUCAGAGUGAAAAGCCAAUGAAAUGGGGCGAAAGGUACGUACGUAACUUUUAUUUUUGUUAGUUAGGUUGUUUUUUUUCCUGUCGGGUUUUUGUUGUUUGGCGUGUAAUAGUUUCGUUGGAAUAAGCUUAUAUUGUUGCUACCGGUCCUGGUCGAUUGAGGACAGCUGGCGCACUGAUGACUGCCGUUGGGUGUAAUGAGACUCAGAAAGAUGAUAACUACUUCGUUGGCCACAGAAACCAGAAAGCGGAAGGAGAGAAAUGGAAGAAAGAAAGGGAUACGAGCCGCAAAAAUUAAUACUUGACUCUUUUUUUUAAUCGCAAGCCUAGAAUGAAAUUACAGCAGUAGCUUUAAUUCUGUUUCUCUAUUCUCGCCAUUCUACCUGUACACGUCUAAUGCACGUGCUCAACCUAUUAUCCCAAACUCUGGGAGUUGCGGCAUUUUUCACCCAACAACGUUGCGUUUUUUUUCGUUGACACGACGGCAAAUUGAUUUCGUAAAAUUUAAUAAAUCACUUCCUUCUGGCGAUUCACAUCCAGCAUACAGAAAGGCCUGAAACGAAUUCCAUCCAUAAUGCAAACAAAACAAAAACAAUGUUGGGUUGUUCAUUAUUUAUUGGACGUGAGUGGGUUGUGCCGUAUCGACGUAAAUUAAUGGCCUUGUCUGCUGGUAUUCCAUCAAUUUGUACCCAAUUAAUUUGCAUUUGUUAUAACAUUAUUACGCAGUAAUUCUCGUAUUAUGUCCUUAGCCAAUGACUGAGUAUCAGAUCAUUUGGCAAAAGGCUGGGCAUAGCAACAGGCAAGUCAUCGUUGGUCUAGGGAGUUAUUUUUGUUGCAAAUUUGGUCCCGUUGCAACAUACGGGAUUCCCAAAAGAGAACAAAGAAAACGGAAAAUUGUAUUAGGUAAUCUCUUGGCAAACGAAACAACCAAACCUACCAACAGACUGCGUUGAGUCUCUGGUUGCUAAAAUCACCUGAUCACGCAGUAUCCGGUCCAAACUAGAUCGUACUACUUCCCGUUUUUUUAUUGGUUGGUAGGCUACCUUGUUUUUUGUUUUUUUGAGGGGGGUUUUCUAUUCAUGUCGUCGUCAUUUGCCGAUAUUUUAAAACCAAAGCCGAAAGCCCAUACAAAUUUAAUGAGCACGAGAGCGUAGCGUAUCUAUCUUGGUACCUCCCUCUUCACCGAGCCAACCGGUGCUGGGUUCGUGUUGUAUAAAGAGAAAGGAUCCAGUGGGCUAAGGCCAGCAGUCGAUUCCCGACCAUUGCCGACAGUAGAACGCAUUACCCGAGGCAACAGAGCUCUUGUUUUUUCGUCAUUAUCUGACCGUCCCCCCCAACUCCUAUCUCUCUGUGAAUAUUUUGAGUAUGGCAGUGGAAGUUGAGAGUUGGCAACGACAGCAGCAACAAGAACUCCGUUGGGAUCCGGUUGCCAACUGUCCCGGUCGUAGUGAAAUGACGCAAGAAGUCGUCUACGGCCACCUGAUGAUGGUGACGUCGACCGGGGCCGGUUCCCCCCAUCGCCAUCGACUUUCCGUCUUCGCCCGGCUUUACCAAACUUCAGCCGGCCGAAUGUUGGUUCUCUGGCCCGAUAAAAAUCACGUUCCUCCCAUUGGCUGUGUGACUCUCAAAGACACUUUUGUCACGAGCGACGAGACGCGAUCAUCCAUCACCUUGCGAGGGCAAAACGACGACGACCUCCCCUUGACGCUGAUUUGUCCAAAUCCUGAAGAUUAUCAACAAUGGAAACGGGCUUUCGUCGAUCCCCGAAACGGCCCGACGUCGAGCAGCGGCAGGAGAAAGAAGUUUAUUACCAACGUCGUUCGAUUACCGAUGCUGAUUGAAGAAGAGAUGUGAUUUUUUUGUAUUAUCAUUAAUUGAGGGAAACAAAAAAAAAAGCGAUCUCCACCGGUUUUUUUAAAUGUUUGUUGUCGGUUUCAUACGAUGCGAUACGAUUCUCUCCACCGAGUUCCACCUGAUAAGAUUCUGAACUAAAUUGUAUUAAAAAUUGCCGCUUGUAUAUUGUUUUCUUCUCCGAUUCAAUAAAUCUAAUCGUGUAGACUGUAA